AUGUGCACGGCGGCCUUGUCCUGCUCGACGACGGCGGCGACGGACGCUAGCGCUCCUCGUCGCCAUCGACCUGCAAGGAGGAGCGCCGUCUUGGACGCUGCUAUCCCUGACGCUGCUGGUGUUCCGUCGCUGCUACGUGUUCCCCGUCACCUGCUCCCAGGUCGCCCCCGAAGUCGAGCUACCCCCGCUCGACCUGCAAGAUGUACUGUGGCCAAGAACUGCUCUACCGCAGGAGUAGAUUGGAAAGGCAAGGUGCAAGGACAGAUUGGAAAGGCUGUUGCUGCUCCUGAACGAUGCGGCUACUGCUGCCACUGCCUCUCAUCUAUUCGGGCAUGA
rnacentral:rRNA from 1 species